ACUGAGCCCCCAGGUGACUGAGCCCCCAGGUGACUAGGCCCCAGGUGACUGAGCCCCCAGGUGACUGAGCCCCAGGUGACUGAGCCCCAGGUGACUGAGCCCCAGGUGACUGAGCCCCCAGGUGACUGAGCCCCCAGGUGACUGAGCCCCAGGUGACUGAGCCCCCAGGUGACUGAGCCCCCAGGUGACUGAGCCCCAGGUGACUGAGCCCCCAGGUGACUGAGCCCCAGGUGACUGAGCCCCAGGUGACUGAGCCCCCAGGUGACUGAGCCCCCAGGUGACUGAGCCCCAGGUGACUGAGCCCCAGGUGACUGAGCCCCCAGGUUACUGAGCCUCAUUCAGCCUCAUUUACUGCCUUUAAAAAAAUAGCUGAUAUGGCUGACUUGCUUUAACAAAUGUGGUUUCUACUGACAAUUGAGAUGUACAAACUAUGGCAUAAGGCUACGACAAGCGGAUAAGAGGCAAUCCGAAAUUUCGAUUAAGACAUUAACGAGCUGACGGACGUAGUCAAUAUAACUAUUUGUUCAGCAC